AUUCAUGCUCCCAUGCAUAAGAACAUGGCUUUUUCA
rnacentral:tRNA from 1 species